rnacentral:rRNA from 1 species
AGUCACUGACAUUAGAUACCCCUGUAGUCCCAGCCGUAAACAGUGUGCGUUAGGUGUGUCGGUAACCACGCGUUACUGAUGCGCCGAAGAGAAAUCGUGAAACGCACCACCUGGGAAGUACGGUCGCAAGGCUGAAACUUAAAGGAAUUGGCGGGGGAGCACCACAACAGGUGGAGCCUGCGGUUUAAUUGGAUUCAACGCCGGACAUCUCACCGGAUAAGACAGCUGAAUGAUUGUCAAUCUGAAGGUUUUACAUGACUAGCUG